AGUCAUAUGCUUGUCUCAAAGAUUAAGCCAUGCAUGUCUAAGUAUAAGCGACUAUACUGUGAAACUGCGAAUGGCUCAUUAAAUCAGUUAUGGUUUAUUUGAUGGUACCCACUACUUGGAUAACCGUAGUAAUUCUAGAGCUAAUACAUGCAGGAAGACCCGACCUCGGAAGGGUUGUAUUUAUUAGAUAAGAAACCAAUCCAGCUUGCUGGUUGCGUGCCGAGUCACAAUAACUGCUCGAAUCGCAUGGCUUCACGCCGGCGAUGGUUCAUUCAAAUUUCUGCCCUAUCAGCUUUCGAUGGUAGGAUCGAGGCCUACCAUGGCGUUUACGGGUAACGGAGAAUUAGGGUUCGAUUCCGGAGAGGGAGCCUGAGAGAUGGCUACCACAUCCAAGGAAGGCAGCAGGCGCGUAAAUUGCCCGAAUCCUGACACAGGGAGGUAGUGACAAGAAAUAACAAUACAGGGCUUCUAAAGUCUUGUAAUUGGAAUGAGUACAAUUUACAUCUCUUCACGAGGAUCAAU
rnacentral:rRNA from 1 species